CAAUUUAGAGCUUGAAUAAGCAUUUUAUUUACAUUAAAAAGAUAAUUAAACAUUUAAAUUGA
rnacentral:tRNA from 1 species